AGGUUUGGUUAAUCUUCUUCACCGCAACUGUCGCGUUUAAGCACUUGAUUAUUCUCAUUCCUCACAUUCUCAAGCAAUCGGACUCUUCCUCUCCCAAAAACCAACAUAAGCUCCAACUAUAAGAAAAGUCUCUGCUAAUUACCAAAACCGAGAAUGGCUAAUUCCUUCAUCUUUCUUGCGGAUUUGAAAACAGGGACCAGUCUCCAAGGUCUCUGUUCACCCUCUCGAUCACUCUCAACUUUAGUAAUCAUCUCCUUGCUAUUUUCGAUUUCAAAAUUUUUGGGGUUUGGUCUCUGUUUGUUUCGUGGGAUAGAUCAAAGGAUUUAUCUUUUGGUUUUAACACAUUCUGAUUAUAAUUUUAUGUGCAGGAAGAUGACAGGCUUUAGAGUAUGUGAUCAGUGAUGCUACUGAUCCAAACCUGUUCGUCUUUCGUAAGCAAAAGAUAUAUUGUUCUGACAAGGCUAACAUAUAAUAUCUUGGACGGUACUAUAAAUCAAGCUCCACAGCUCUGUAAUGUCUUUGCAGCUCGAGUUGGUCUGGCUGUUUUUAAUAUUUUGAAGGCUUUCUCUGCUGCUGCAUCGAAGUUGGAGACCAUUAGGCAGGGAGUCAGUUUCAAAGUUUGUUGCGAGCGACUAGAUAUGUCCACAAGACUGGACUGAGAGGUAUAUGUGCUUUGUAUGAACUGCUUUGUAUGUACAUGUGAUCAAGUUGAUGCUAAAAACAAGAACGCUCCUUCUGAGACAAAGCCCCUGAUAGUACACAAGCUUUCACACCACUUCUCUUUGGCCUCUUUUUUUGUGCUGUUGAUAAUACUGUGAGCAUGCGGUUUAUGAAAACUGGGAAACACGUACGAAUCUGAGUGGACUACUCAACUGCUACCUGGUUAAACACGGAGCUAGGAUAUAGAGCAUACUUGGUUUGGUUAUCUGAAUAUGAAUGGCGGUGGGCUUCACACUUCAACCACUUCAGUUAAAACUCCAGUUUUUAAAAAUUGUAUUUGGUCAACCUAUGCGCAUGGAGAGAAGUAAUCAAUUCAUUGUCCAAGAUUAUAUUCAAAGGUCAUGUCCACUUUGACUCAAGUUUGAGCAAGCUCCGAGAGUUACGAUGGAGAGUCCAAGGGAUAUCAACGUUGAUAACCGCAACAUUUUUUUUUUCAUUCUGAUAUUGACGG